GAUGAACGCUGGCGGCGUGCCUAACACAUGUAAGUCGAACGUGAGGAACUGAGCAAUCGGUUCUGAAAGUGGCGAACGGGUGAGUAACACGUAGGAACCUGCCCUGGAGUGGGGGAUAACCACUGGAAACGGUGGCUAAUACCGCAUGAGCUCAUCGGGAUGGGAGUCUUGAUGAGGAAAGAGCAAUUGCUCCAGGAGGGGUCUGCGUCCGAUUAGCUAGAUGGUGGGGUAAAGGCCUACCAUGGCGAUGAUCGGUAGCUGGUCUGAGAGGAUGAUCAGCCACACGGGAACUGAGACACGGUCCCGACUCCUACGGGGGGCAGCAGUGAGGAAUAUUGCACAAUGGGGGAAACCCUGAUGCAGCAACGCCGCGUGGAGGAUUGAC
rnacentral:rRNA from 1 species